rnacentral:rRNA from 1 species
GUGCCAGCAGCCGCGGUAAUACGUAGGGUGCAAGCGUUGUCCGGAAUUAUUGGGCGUAAAGAGCUCGUAGGCGGUUUGUCGCGUCUGCUGUGAAAACCUGGGGCUUAACUCCGGGCUUGCAGUGGGUACGGGCAGACUAGAGUGCGGUAGGGGAGACUGGAAUUCCUGGUGUAGCGGUGAAAUGCGCAGAUAUCAGGAGGAACACCGGUGGCGAAGGCGGGUCUCUGGGCCGUAACUGACGCUGAGGAGCGAAAGCGUGGGGAGCGAACAGGAUUAGAUACCCUGGUAGUCCACGCCGUAAACGUUGGGCGCUAGGUGUGGGGCUCUUUCCACGAGUUCCGUGCCGCAGCAAACGCAUUAAGCGCCCCGCCUGGGGAGUACGGCCGCAAGGCUAAA